UAUUGGUCAAUGGGCGGAAGCCUGAACCAGCCAUGCCGCGUGAAGGACGAAGGCGUUCUGCGUUGUAAACUUCUUUUAUAAGGGAAGAAACCUGGAUUUUCUAAUUCAGCCGACGGUACCUUAUGAAUAAGCACCGGCUAACUCCGUGCCAGCAGCCGCGGUAAUACGGAGGGUGCAAGCGUUAUCCGGAUUUACUGGGUUUAAAGGGUGUGUAGGCGGGCUUGUAAGUCAGGGGUGAAAUCCUACAGCUUAACUGUAGAACUGCCUUUGAUACUAUAAGUCUUGAAUAUUGUUGAGGUGGGCGGAAUACAUCAUGUAGCGGUGAAAUGCUUAGAUAUGAUGUAGAACACCGAUUGCGAAGGCAGCUCACUAAGCAAAUAUUGACGCUGAGGCACGAAAGCGUGGGGAUCAAACAGG
rnacentral:rRNA from 1 species